rnacentral:rRNA from 1 species
GGAAUAUUGCGCAAUGGAGGAAACUCUGACGCAGUGACGCCGCGUGCAGGAAGAAGGUUUUCGGAUUGUAACCUGCUUUAGACAGGGAAGAAACAAGACAGUACCUGUAGAAUAAGCUCCGGCUAACUACGUGCCAGCAGCCGCGGUAAUACGUAGGGAGCGAGCGUUAUCCGGAUUUAUUGGGUGUAAAGGGUGCGUAGACGGGAAAUUAAGUUAGUUGUGAAAUCCCACGGCUUAACUGAGGAACUGCAACUAAAACUGAUUUUCUUGAGUGCUGGAGAGGAAAGUGGAAUUCCUAGUGUAGCGGUGAAAUGCGUAGAUAUUAGGAGGAACACCAGUGGCGAAGGCGACUUUCUGGACAGUAACUGACGUUGAGGCACGAAAGUGUGGGGAGCAAACA